rnacentral:rRNA from 1 species
GCCUACAACAUAGCAUUAAUGCACCAGAUCCCAUUAUAAAUCCACAGUUAAGCACGCUCAGGCUAGAGUAGUACUAGGAUGGCUGAUCGCCAGGGAAGUCCUAGUGUUUUGGAUU